rnacentral:rRNA from 1 species
GACGAACGCUGGCGGCGUGCUUAACACAUGCAAGUCGAACGGAAACGCCCUGCUUUUUUGGGGUUCUCGAGUGGCGAUCGGGUGCGUAACACGUGAGUAUCCUGCUCUUGUCUUUCGUAUAACUUCAGGUAACUAGGGUUACUACCGUAUAGGAGCUCCUCUUGCAUGGUGGGCGUUGGAAAGUUUCGGCGGUUGGGGAUGGACUCGCGGCUUAUCAGCUUGUUGGUGGGCUAGUGGCUUACCAAGGCUUUGACGGGUCGCCGGCCUGAGAGGGUGGCCGGGCACAUGGGGACUGAGAUACGGCGCAGACGCCUACGGGAGGCAACAGUGGGGAAUAUUACACAAUGAGCGGAAGCCUGAUGCAGCAACGCCGGGUGCGGGAUGACGGCCUUCGGGGAGUAAACAGCAUUAGCCUGUGACGAAGCGGGAGUGACGGUAAUGGGAAAAGAAGCACCGGCUAACUACGUG